UUCUUUAAGUAAUUAAUUUAAAGUAAAACCUGCUCAAUGUUAUACAUAAAUAGCCGCAGUUUCUGUGCUAAGGUAGCAUAAUAAUUAGCUCUUUAAUUAAGAGAUAGAAUGAAUGGUCAUAUGAAAUACAAAAUGUUUCUAAAAUCAUUAAAUAAUUUAAAAAAAAAGUAAAAAUUCUUUUACUAUUAAGAAAGACGAUAAGACCCUAGUUAAACUUAAAAUUUAGCUGGGGCGGCAAUUAAAACAAACCUUAAUUAAAACUACUACCCAAAACCCAAUAAAAUUGUAUUAUAAAGUUACUAUAGGGAUAACAGCGCAAUCUUUUUCAAAAGAUCUCAUCCAAAAAAAGACUUACGACCUCGAUGUUGAAUUAAUUACCUCAAAAUAGACGCAAAAGUCUUUAAAGUUAGUCUGUUCGACUAUUAAAAAAUU
rnacentral:rRNA from 1 species